rnacentral:rRNA from 1 species
AUUGAACGCUGGCGGCAUGCCUUACACAUGCAAGUCGAACGGCAGCGCGGGAGCAAUCCCGGCGGCGAGUGGCGAACGGGUGAGUAAUAUAUCGGAACGUGCCCAGUAGUGGGGGAUAGCCCGGCGAAAGCCGGAUUAAUACCGCAUACGACCUACGGGUGAAAGGGGGGGAUCGCAAGACCUCUCGCUAUUGGAGCGGCCGAUAUCAGAUUAGGUAGUUGGUGGGGUAAAGGCCCACCAAGCCUACGAUCUGUAGUUGGUCUGAGAGGACGACCAGCCACACUGGGACUGAGACACGGCCCAGACUCCUACGGGAGGCAGCAGUGGGGAAUUUUGGACAAUGGGGGCAACCCUGAUCCAGCAAUGCCGCGUGCAGGAAGAAGGCCUUCGGGUUGUAAACUGCUUUUGUCAGGGAAGAAAUCCCUUGGGUUAAUACCUCGGGGGGAUGACGGUACCUGAAGAAUAAGCACCGGCUAACUACGUGCCAGCCGCCGCAGUAA